CUGGUUGGUUGUCGAGUCAUUCCCUGCGAAAGCAAAUUUGAAUUAUACUGCACAAGCUCUAGGCAUAUCAACAGCUGCAAUUUCUGCUUUCUUCAUCACUGCUGAUAAAACCAUCCUGAAACAUGCAAGGGGAAACAAAUGGAAAGUAUGACAAGAGCUCUUGACAUGAAGCAGCACCAACUCAAAGAUCAAACUCUUGGAGCUUGAAUUUUGAUGUUUAAUGGUUUCAUCCCUUGAGAGUGUAUUUCCAUUUUCUCUUUGUUCUGAAAUAGCAAUAGCAGGAAGGCUUUGUAAUGUUGGCAUUUGACUAAUGCUUGGAAUGAAGAAGAAAUGUAUUAUUUUUCUCUUGACCAUUUCGUAAUCUAAAAUAAAAAUUAAAGCUCUCUGUUGAA